rnacentral:rRNA from 1 species
GAUCCUGGCUCAGGAUGAACGCUGGCGGCGUGCCUAAUACAUGCAAGUCGAACGCGAGCACUUGUGCUCGAGUGGCGGACGGGUGAGUAAUACAUAAGUAACCUGCCCUAGACAGGGGGAUAACUAUUGGAAACGAUAGCUAAGACCGCAUAGGUACGGACACUGCAUGGUGACCGUAUUAAAAGUGCCCCAAAGCACUGGUAGAGGAUGGACUUAUGGCGCAUUAGCUGGUUGGCGGGG